CCUACGGGCGGCAGCAGUGGGGAAUAUUGGACAAUGGGGGGAACCCUGAUCCAGCCAUGCCGCGUGUGUGAAGAAGGCCCUCGGGUUGUAAAGCACUUUCAGUGAGGAAGAACGCCUGGUGGUUAAUACCCAUCAGGAAAGACAUCACUCACAGAAGAAGCACCGGCUAACUCCGUGCCAGCAGCCGCGGUAAUACGGAGGGUGCGAGCGUUAAUCGGAAUUACUGGGCGUAAAGCGCGCGUAGGUGGCUUGAUAAGCCGGUUGUGAAAGCCCCGGGCUCAACCUGGGAACGGCAUCCGGAACUGUCAAGCUAGAGUGCAGAAGAGGAAGGUAGAAUUCCCGGUGUAGCGGUGAAAUGCGUAGAGAUCGGGAGGAAUACCAGUGGCGAAGGCGACCUUCUGGACUGACACUGACGCUGAGGUGCGAAAGCGUGGGUAGCAAACAGGAUUAGAUACCCGAGUAGUC
rnacentral:rRNA from 1 species